rnacentral:snoRNA from 1 species
AUUCCAUGAUGAGGACACUUUCGUAAUAAUUCUUUGUACCUUUCCCAUGCCUUAUACAAGGACUCAUCAUCUAUUUGUUGGAAAGUAGUGAUCUCGUUCCUCAACUU